CAAUAGCGUAUAUUUAAGUUGUUGCAGUUAAAAAGCUCGUAGUUGGAUUUCGGAUGGGAUUUGCCGGUCCGUCGUUACGAUGUGCACUGGCCAGUCCUAUCUUGUUGUCGGGGACUAGCUCCUUGGAUUCACUUCCUGGGACUAGGAGCUGACGAGGUUACUUUGAGUAAAUUAGAGUGUUCAAAGCAAGCCUACGCUCUGAAUACAUUAGCAUGGAUUAACACGAUAGGACUCUGGCUUAUCUUGUUGGUCUGUGAGACCAGAGUAAUGAUUAAGAGGGACAGUCGGGGACAUUCGUAUUUCAUUGUCAGAGGUGAAAUUCUUGGAUUUAUGAAAGACGAACUUCUGCGAAAGCAUUUGUCAAGGAUGUUUUCAUUAA
rnacentral:rRNA from 1 species